rnacentral:rRNA from 1 species
GUCGAACGGAGCACCCCUGAAAGAGUUUUCGGACAAUGGAAGGGACUGUUUAGUGGCGGACUGGUGAGUAACGCGUGAGGAACCUGCCUUCCAGAGGGAGACAACAGUUGGAAACGACUGCUAAUACCGCAUGACACAUGGCCGUGGCAUCACGGACAUGUCAAAGAUUUAUCGCUGGAAGAUGGCCUCGCGUCUGAUUAGCUAGUAGGCGGGGUAACGGCCCACCUAGGCGACGAUCAGUAGCCGGACUGAGAGGUUGACCGGCCACAUUGGGACUGAGAUACGGCCCAGACUCCUACGGGAGGCAGCAGUGGGGAAUAUUGGGCAAUGGGCGCAAGCCUGACCCAGCAACGCCGCGUGAAGGAAGAAGGCUUUCGGGUUGUAAACUUCUUUUAAGGGGGAAGAGCAGAAGACGGUACCCCUUGAAUAAGCCACGGCUAACUACGUGCCAGCAGCCGCGGUAAUACGUAGGUGGCAAGCGUUGUCCGGAUUUACUGGGUGUAAAGGGCGUGCAGCCGGGACUGCAAGUCAGAUGUGAAAUCCGCGGGCUUAACCCGCGAACUGCAUUUGAAACUGCGGAUCUUGAGUACCGGAGAGGUUAUCGGAAUUCCUUGUGUAGCGGUGAAAUGCGUAGAUAUAAGGAAGAACACCAGUGGCGAAGGCGGAUAACUGGACGGCAACUGACGGU